CACAAAACACUCCAGGGAUUCGCUGCUGGCGACCAGACGAUCAAGGAUUGCUGACUGUCGCAACAUUAGAGAGCAAGAGCCGUAGUAAUGCUUCCGUGAAAGUAGGUCAAAUUUUGGUUUGGAUUGAAAAGGUUAAUUUUAUAAUAGAAGCGAUGAGUAAAUAAUAAAUAUCAACUUUUACAAUGAGUAUUUUCUGGACCAUCAUCAUUAUUGCACACUAUGCUCAGUUAAUAACAACAACCCAAUGAAUGUAAUGAAGUAAUUUUACAAUGAGUUUAUUCGCAAGAAAACUGGAUUAAUAAAAAAAUUUGACAACGUUAGUACAUAAAGGAACAACAGUUUCUAAAAUCAGAGAGAUUGCUACCUUGUGAUUGCACUGCUGCCACCAAACUGUUUCUGCCUGUUUCUGUCUCAUUAUCAAAGAGUUGGACGACGAAAAUGUAGAUAUUCUUUUGUGUCUUUUGUGCUAAUCUGCUGCCUUCAAAGACAAGGUUUCUGUCGUUUGAUCCCACAGCAUCAACCAAAUUGUAAAAUUUAUAUUUACUGAUCCCACUGUUGCCAUCAAAUGUAGUUGUACGGUUGGCUAUUGUUACGUAGAGAUAUUAAGUGGGAUUUAAAAGUGUGUAAAAAAAAAUAUAUAUAUUCUUUUAUCUAGCUGGUGUCACUAAAUUGUUAGCAUUGCUCUUUUAGAUAAUGGU